GACGAACGCUGGCGGCGUGCUUAACACAUGCAAGUCGAACGGAAAGGCCCUGCUCUUGUGGGGUGCUCGUGUGGCGAACGGGUGAGUAACACGCGAGUAACCUGCCCCUGACUUUGGGAUAACUCUAGGAAACUGCGGCUAUUACCGGAUAGGAGCUCCUGCUGCACGGUGGGGGUUGGAAAGUUUCGGCGGUUGGGGAUGGACUCGCGGCUUAUCAGCUUGUUGGGGGGGUAGUGGCUUACCAAGGCUUUGACGGGUAGCCGGCCUGAGAGGGUGAACGGCGACAUUGGGACUGAGAUACGGCCCAGACUCCUACGGGAGGCAGCAGUGGAGAAUAUUACACAGUGGGCGGAAGCCUGAUGCAGCGACGCCGCGUGCGGGAUGACGGCCUACUGGUUGUGAACCGCUUUCGCCUGUACCGAAGCGUGAGUGACGGUAAUGGGUAAGAAAGCACCGGCUAACUACGUG
rnacentral:rRNA from 1 species